UGAGGAAUAUUGGUCAAUGGGCGAGAGCCUGAACCAGCCAAGUCGCGUGAAGGAUGAAGGUUCUAUGGAUUGUAAACUUCUUUUAUUCGAGGGUAAAGUGAGGUACGUGUACCUUAUUGCAAGUAUCGAAUGAAUAAGCAUCGGCUAACUCCGUGCCAGCAGCCGCGGUAAUACGGAGGAUGCGAGCGUUAUCCGGAUUUAUUGGGUUUAAAGGGUGCGUAGGCGGAUUAUUAAGUCAGCGGUGAAAGCGUGUGGCUCAACCAUACAAUUGCCGUUGAUACUGGUAGUCUUGAGUGUAAACGAGGUAGGCGGAAUUCCUAGUGUAGCGGUGAAAUG
rnacentral:rRNA from 1 species